rnacentral:sRNA from 1 species
UUAUACAUAAACGGCUUGGAGGAGUGGUUAGAAUUCCGGUAAAAAUCCAGUGACCCUAGAUUGUCAGCAGUCAGCAAGCAGGAUCCAAAAAGACUCUUGCAAGUUGGCACGGCAGAUCUCCUGAAGAAUGGUGGCCAUUUUGCUGGGAGAUCUGUGCUCUAUAACACAAUGGUCUCUGCCACUGGGAAGGGGAGCCUCCUUGGAACAGUGGUCUGAAAUGGAUAAAUGCCUUACCUGGGUUUGGUGUUGCUGUUGACUUCUUCAUAAGAGGCAAAACUCAGACAUCUAACAUCCAACAUCUGGGACAGGAUGUUCAGCCUCUGUGGAUAUCAGAGCAGAGUCACCAUUCUUCCCAGCCUUGUUCUAACAACAGCGUGAGCCUUUCCAAAUAUUUACAAUCAGUUGGCACUGAACCAGCUGCCACGGAACUUCUGCGAGUUGGAAAGAGGUCCCCUUAUGUAAGAGGAAAUGGACCGUGUGGCCUGGUGGGGGAAAAUCCACCCCGGUGCAUCUUGGGAUUGGCCCUUGUCUCAGCAUGACAGUCAUCCACUGACCUACUAGUCACACCUCUCCUUUAGAAAGAGUAGAUCACUCAGCGUCUUUGAAGGUAGCCCAUGCUGGUCUGAAAUGUCUUUGCAACAAGGCUAAGGGAUCCGGAGACACUGAAGUUUGAGCUGACACCAAUUAUGCUGCAAGGGUGAAAAUUAAUUAAAAGUUUUCA